rnacentral:rRNA from 1 species
AAUGGGCGCAAGCCUGAUGCAGCCAUGCCGCGUGUGUGAUGAAGGCCUUAGGGUUGUAAAACACUUUCAUCGGUGAAGAUAAUGACGGUAGCCGAAGAAGAAGCCCCGGCUAACUCCGUGCCAGCAGCCGCGGUAAUACGGAGGGGGCAAGCGUUGUUCGGAAUUACUGGGCGUAAAGCGCACGUAGGCGGACUGAUCAGUUGGGGGUGAAAUCCCGAGGCUUAACCUCGGAACUGCCUUCAAUACUGUCAGUCUUGAGAUCGGAAGAGGUGAGUGGAAUUCCUAGUGUAGAGGUGAAAUUCGUAGAUAUUAGGAAGAACACCAGUGGCGAAGGCGGCUCACUGGUCCGAUACUGACGCUGAGGUGCGAAAGCGUAGGGAGCGAACAGGAUU